CUGAAAUUAAGACAUAUAUACAAGAUUUUGCAUAAUAUUUUAAAAUAUUUUAGAUUCUGAACUGAGUGAUGUGUAUAUUGAUUUUAAAAUUAUGUGUGUUUUUUUUUUGUGUCUGAGGACAAAAUUUGGAUCAGAAUUAGUGCUUCAACCUCAACAAUUAGGGGUGGUUUCGGGUAGCAAAAUGAAUGUAUAUUAUAGUUUGGGUCCACCCCACCCCUACUGUACACCAGAGCUAGUUCCCAGUUUUUAUCAUUAUAUUCCUAUAAAAAAAAAAAAUUAAUCCUCUAUCCUUUAUGGCAUUUUAAUUUUAGAUGGGCUUAUUGGGAAUGAUAGCAUAAUUGAAGUGAAAUGUCCGUAUUCGGCCAAAGACUAUCCUACAGUUGAAGAGGCUAUCAAAGAUAAAAAGAUAAAAUUCUUAAGAUUAAAUGAAUGUGGAGAAAUAUCUUUAAAAAAAGAUGAUAACUAUUACUAUCA